rnacentral:rRNA from 1 species
UGGCAGUCAGAGGCGAUGAAGGGCGUGCUAAUCUGCGAUAAGCGCCGGUAAGGUGAUAUGAACCGUUAUAACCGGCGAUACCCGAAUGGGGAAACCCAGUGUGAUUCGUCACACUAUCAUUAACUGAAUCCAUAGGUUAAUGAGGCGAACCGGGGGAACUGAAACAUCUAAGUACCCCGAGGAAAAGAAAUCAACCGAGAUUCCCCCAGUAGCGGCGAGCGAACGGGGAGGAGCCCAGAGCCUGAAUCAGCAUGUGUGUUAGUGGAAGCGUCUGGAAAGGCGCGCGAUACAGGGUGACAGCCCCGUACACAAAAGCGCAUGUGCUGUGAGCUCGAUGAGUAGGGCGGGACACGUGGUAUCCUGUCUGAAUAUGGGGGGACCAUCCUCCAAGGCUAAAUACUCCUGACUGACCGAUAGUGAACCAGUACCGUGAGGGAAAGGCGAAAAGAACCCCGGCGAGGGGAGUGAAAAAGAACCUGAAACCGUGUACGUACAAGCAGUGGGAGCACNGUGUGACUGCGUACCUUUUGUAUAAUGGGUCAGCGACUUAUAUUCUGUAGCAAGGUUAACCGUAUAGGGGAGCCGUAGGGAAACCGAGUCUUAACCGGGCGUUAAGUUGCAGGGUAUAGACCCGAAACCCGGUGAUCUAGCCAUGGGCAGGUUGAAGGUUGGGUAACACUAACUGGAGGACCGAACCGACUAAUGUUGAAAAAUUAGCGGAUGACCUGUGGCUGGGGGUGAAAGGCCAAUCAAACCGGGAGAUAGCUGGUUCUCCCCGAAAGCUAUUUAGGUAGCGCCUCGUGAAUUCAUCUCCGGGGGUAGAGCACUGUUUCGGCUAGGGGGCCAUCCCGGCUUACCAACCCGAUGCAAACUGCGAAUACCGGAGAAUGUUAUCACGGGAGACACACGGCGGGUGCUAACGUCCGUCGUGAAGAGGGAAACAACCCAGACCGCCAGCUAAGGUCCCAAAGUCAUGGUUAAGUGGGAAACGAUGUGGGAAGGCCCAGACAGCCAGGAUGUUGGCUUAGAAGCAGCCAUCAUUUAAAGAAAGCGUAAUAGCUCACUGGUCGAGUCGGCCUGCGCGGAAGAUGUAACGGGGCUAAACCAUGCACCGAAGCUGCGGCAGCGAACGUAUCACCCAAGACAACUUUACGGAGUUGACGAUUGACGGAGCGAAGCGACGUCAAAGCGUUCAUUAAAGUCGAGUUGGCUUAGGGAUACGUUCGUUGGGUAGGGGAGCGUUCUGUAAGCCUGUGAAGGUGUGUCGUGAGGCAUGCUGGAGGUAUCAGAAGUGCGAAUGCUGACAUAAGUAACGAUAAAGCGGGUGAAAAGCCCGCUCGCCGGAAGACCAAGGGUUCCUGUCCAACGUUAAUCGGGGCAGGGUGAGUCGACCCCUAAGGCGAGGCCGAAAGGCGUAGUCGAUGGGAAACGGGUUAAUAUUCCCGUACUUGGUGUUACUGCGAAGGGGGGACGGAGAAGGCUAUGUUGGCCGGGCGACGGUUGUCCCGGUUUAAGCGUGUAGGUGUGUGUUCCAGGUAAAUCCGGUUCACUUUAACACUGAGGCGUGACGACGAGGCACUACGGUGCUGAAGCAACAAAUGCCCUGCUUCCAGGAAAAGCCUCUAAGCAUCAGGUAACACGAAAUCGUACCCCAAACCGACACAGGUGGUCAGGUAGAGAAUACCAAGGCGCUUGAGAGAACUCGGGUGAAGGAACUAGGCAAAAUGGUGCCGUAACUUCGGGAGAAGGCACGCUGACACGUAGGUGAAGUGAUUUACUCAUGGAGCUGAAGUCAGUCGAAGAUACCAGCUGGCUGCAACUGUUUAUUAAAAACACAGCACUGUGCAAACACGAAAGUGGACGUAUACGGUGUGACGCCUGCCCGGUGCCGGAAGGUUAAUUGAUGGGGUCAGCGCAAGCGAAGCUCCUGAUCGAAGCCCCGGUAAACGGCGGCCGUAACUAUAACGGUCCUAAGGUAGCGAAAUUCCUUGUCGGGUAAGUUCCGACCUGCACGAAUGGCGUAAUGAUGGCCAGGCUGUCUCCACCCGAGACUCAGUGAAAUUGAACUCGCUGUGAAGAUGCAGUGUACCCGCGGCAAGACGGAAAGACCCCGUGAACCUUUACUAUAGCUUGACACUGAACAUUGAGCCUUGAUGUGUAGGAUAGGUGGGAGGCUUUGAAGUGUGGACGCCAGUCUGCAUGGAGCCGACCUUGAAAUACCACCCUUUAAUGUUUGAUGUUCUAACGUGGACCCGUAAUCCGGGUUGCGGACAGUGUCUGGUGGGUAGUUUGACUGGGGCGGUCUCCUCCUAAAGAGUAACGGAGGAGCACGAAGGUUGGCUAAUCCUGGUCGGACAUCAGGAGGUUAGUGCAAUGGCAUAAGCCAGCUUGACUGCGAGCGUGACGGCGCGAGCAGGUGCGAAAGCAGGUCAUAGUGAUCCGGUGGUUCUGAAUGGAAGGGCCAUCGCUCAACGGAUAAAAGGUACUCCGGGGAUAACAGGCUGAUACCGCCCAAGAGUUCAUAUCGACGGCGGUGUUUGGCACCUCGAUGUCGGCUCAUCACAUCCUGGGGCUGAAGUAGGUCCCAAGGGUAUGGCUGUUCGCCAUUUAAAGUGGUACGCGAGCUGGGUUUAGAACGUCGUGAGACAGUUCGGUCCCUAUCUGCCGUGGGCGCUGGAGAACUGAGGGGGGCUGCUCCUAGUACGAGAGGACCGGAGUGGACGCAUCACUGGUGUUCGGGUUGUCAUGCCAAUGGCACUGCCCGGUAGCUAAAUGCGGAAGAGAUAAGUGCUGAAAGCAUCUAAGCACGAAACUUGCCCCGAGAUGAGUUCUCCCUGAGACUUAGAGUCUCCUGAAGGAACGUUGAAGACGACGACGUUGAUAGGCCGGGUGUGUAAGCGCAGCGAUGCGUUGAGCUAACCGGUACUAAUGAACCGUGAGGCUUAACCUU